GAAAAUUUUAAUUGUAAAAAAACAAGGUUGUUUUUUUUUUUUUGUCACACGAAAAGAAAAUUUAAGAGUUAUUAACAACUGUAAAAUUAAACAGAAAUCAAUUAGCAAUUCGUAAGGUUGUUGUAUAAUAAAUUUAUUACAUUUUAAAUUAAACACUAGAGUAAAGCUCUACAAACAGCUAUAAGUAAUAUUUUAGCAAUCAAAGAAAGGAUUAAACAAUUCAAUACCCCGUACCCAAGUCAAUUGUAUAAAAAAAAAAAAACAUAAAAAUUAGCAAAAAGUAUCUUAUAUACAAAACUUUUAAUAAAAUACUUUUGUGAAAUAUUUCAGCUAGAAUAAUAAACUUUAUAAUAAAAUUAUUAUAAUUAAAACAAAAAAAUUUAAGUUAUAAGAUUUUAGCUAAAAAAAAGUUAGUGGGAUUUUGGCUAUAUUUUGACAAAAUCCUUAAAUGUAUUAAAAACACAUUAUUAAAAAAAACUAACUCAAGAAAACGCGUUUUGACAAUCAUAUAAAAUCAAUAGCGUAUAAAUAUCAAACAAAUAAUUAUAUCUAAAUAUAUAUAUAUACUUAUAAAACAGUGUGUUUACUCUUUUGAACAUCUGCUCCUCAAUCCCUCUUAACGACAAUCUUUUAAGGUCUAAAGAAUAAAUCUAAUCUUAAAUUCUUUACCCAAUCUAUGUGAUCUUUAUAUACAUAUAUAUAUCAAUCCUCAAAACUCUGACAAUCUGUCUACAAAUUUUACUCUUAAAAUUUAUACAAUUUAUACCAGUAGUUUAAUCUAAAAACAUUUCAUAUAAAAUAUUUAAUCACAACAUUUUAUCUCAAUAUAUAUUUAUAUAUAAAUAAUCUUUUCAAUUAUAAAACAAUCAAAAAAACUCAUACAUACUUAUAGUAUAAACUAAUUAACUAACUAUUGCACAAAUUUAUAUCAAUCAAUACUUAAUAUUCAAAUUUUAAACCAUUAAAUAUAGAUCUUCUUAUUGACAAUCUUAUUCAAUCAUCUAUAACUAUUUAUAGGCCUCUCCUCAAAUUUAAACUCAAAGUGUUUCAAUACAUUUUUUUUCUUAACUUAAAUCUUAAAAAAGCAACACUUAUAAAAUAAUCACAAAUAAACAAUCUACAGAAUUUACCUUAAUUUAUAUAAAUAUAUACAUAUAUAUAAACAUUUUAGCAAAUAAGUAGAAAUUAUAUUAUAUUUAUAACAAUUAAAACCUAAUCAAAUAAUCAAUCAAAGUGCAUAAUAUAGAAAAGAUAUAACAAUCAAGGCAACAAUUUGUUUAAUUAAAAUAAUUGCUAAAACAACAAAAAAUUUAAACAGACUUUACAGCCCAUAAAUCAAAACCCCAUUUAAAACACAUAACUAUAUUUGUCCUUUAAAACCAAACCCACAAAUUUUAUCCUUAUAACGACAAUUACUUCUUUCCUUCCUUCCUUUUCAAUAUCCCUAAAUACCACAAUAAUUUCGUUAUAAUCAACAAAUAACAACAAAUCAACAUCUACUUAAAUAAACGUUAAAUUUGUAUAAAUUCAUAUAUAAAAAAAUAAUAACCAACAACAUUAAAAGUUAAUUAAAUUUGCCAAAAAAAAAAUUAAAUAAACAAAAAUAUAAAAAAAUCACAGAAUUUAGUGUCAGUGUUAAAAAAAAAACGUUUGCAAAAGAAUAUUAAAUUUCUACAAAGCAGUUGCAGCUAAAACUACAACUUCAGCUUCAACAAAAUAAAAUAAGACAAGUUUUAACUUAACUUUAUAAUGCAAAUGCAGUUGUUACAAGCAGCACCAACACCAGCGCAUCCUCAUCAUUUGCAUAUGACGCCACAAACGUAUACUACGGCUACGUAUCCAGCAACAGCUGCUGCUGCAGCAGCCGCUGCCACUAUGCUGCAUCAACAGCAGCAGCAACAACAACAACAGCAGCAGCAUCAAUUCCAGAUGCAACAAUUCUAUGCUGCUCAACAACAACAACAGCAGCAACAGGCUGCUGUGGCCCAACAACAACAGCAGCAGCAGCAACAACAACAGCAGCAACAACUGCAAAUGUUGCAAACUUAUAUGCAAAUGCAAAUGAGUAAUGCCACCUCGCCCACUACGCCCACCAAAUACAAUUCCAAUCUAUUGGGCCAGGCUACACAGCAGCAGCAACCUGCUACAGCGGCCUUCUUCUCAACGGCCGCUGCUACACCCUUGACGAUCAUACCCACCUGUAAUGGCUCGGCAGCUGUGGCAGCCGCUAUGUUUGCAGCAAAUAUGGCUGGUACGACUUCAUCAUCGUCGUCAACAACUACUCCAUCCAAUAAUGUAAAUAAUAACAUUAGUCUAUCUGCAACUAGUUCUUCUCCAGCAGCAACUGCAGCGACUGGGGGAGCCUUCCUCAAUGCUCUGGCUACAACAAACGCUUUUACGUCUAUCAACACUAAUGGUCACCAUGCCCUUAACAACACUGGUCCUGGUCUCUUGGGUGGAGCACCCAAUGGCUUGCUGCAAACCAAUGACUUUAGCACCAAAUUUUUUACUAAAACAACCACUAUUGUGUCUAAUAAUAGUGGUGGCAGUUAUGUUGGUAUGCGUUCAGGUGCUGGUUUGCUAGGAAGUGCUCCUGGCUGUCCUACCAUUGAGUUGGCCAAUAAAACUUCGAAAUUAUUAUUGGCCACCUCACCAGUGGCCAGCCACAGUCAGACCACUUCUUUGGCUUCGAACUGCUCCAGCUCAAGUCGUUGCAGUUCUGCUUCUUCUGAUUGUUCUAUGCCAUCGCCAUCUUCAUUACACCUAUCUUCUCCUAAAAAGCGUGGUAGCGACGAACUUUUAAGUCAAGCAGCAGUUAUGGCGCCCGCUUCGGACAAUAAUAAUCAGGAUUUAGCCACAAAGAAAGCCAAAUUGGACUCAAGCACCGUACUGGGUGGAGUUGGUAAACCCUCAAAAGUUAUACAUUUGCGUAACAUUCCAAAUGAAUCGAGUGAUGCUGAUGUCAUUGCCUUGGGUGUACCUUUUGGCCGUGUCACAAAUGUUCUUAUAUUAAAGGGCAAAAAUCAAGCAUUUUUAGAAAUGGCCGAUGAAGUUUCCGCCACAGCAAUGGUCUCAUGUUAUAACAUUAAUCCGCCACAGAUGCGCGGUCGCAUGGUUUAUGUACAAUUUUCAAAUCAUCGUGAAUUAAAAACGGAUCAAAAUCAUGGCAACGCCAUUGUACCCGCUGAUUAUCGCAUACAAUCACCAGCAUCGGGCUCUCCAUUGCCUCUAACCAAUACCACAAAUACAGAUCUCACAGUGGCCGUUUUAACAAAUAAUACAAAUGCUGUUAAUUCUGUAUCCGGUAAUGCCAAUACUGCCGGUGGUCCCAAUACUGUUUUACGUGUUAUAGUCGAAUCUCAAUUGUAUCCCGUUUCCUUGGAUAUCUUACAUCAAAUAUUCCAACGUUUCGGCAAAGUUUUAAAAAUUGUUACAUUUACAAAAAAUAAUACAUUCCAGGCGCUCAUACAAUAUCCCGAUGCCCAUUCGGCUCAACAUGCUAAAACUAUUUUGGAUGGUCAAAAUAUUUACAAUGGCUGUUGUACGCUACGUAUUGAUAACAGCAAAAUGACUACGCUCAAUGUUAAAUACAAUAAUGAUAAGUCACGCGAUUUUACAAAUCCCUCAUUGCCACCUGGUGAACCGGGUGCCGAUAUUAUGCCCACCGCUGGCGGUUUAGUAAAUGCCAAUGAUUUACUAUUGAUAGCGGCCCGUCAAAGGCCCUCAUUAACAGGUGAUAAAAUAGUAAAUGGUUUAGGAGCACCCGGCGUGUUGCCACCAUUUGCUUUGGGCAUAGGUACUCCCUUGGCUGGAGGCUAUAGCAGUGGUAUACCCAAUUUGGGGGCAUUUGCUCUUGCCAAUAGUGGUGCUUUACAAACAGCCACCCCUGCUUUGCGUGGUUUCUCAAAUGUCUUGCUUGUUUCGAAUUUAAAUGAAGAGGUGUUUAUGGCGAUGUGCAACGUGUAAAGAUUUUAUAUAAUAAAAAGGAUUCAGCUCUUAUACAAAUGGCCGAACCACAGCAAGCUUAUUUGGCUAUGAAUCAUCUUGACAAAUUACGCUUGUGGGGCAAGGCGAUACGUGUUAUGGCCAGCAAACACCAGGCUGUACAACUGCCAAAAGAAGGACAACCCGAUGCCGGCCUUACACGUGACUACUCUCAGAAUCCAUUGCAUCGAUUCAAGAAACCAGGCAGCAAAAACUAU
rnacentral:misc_RNA from 1 species